rnacentral:rRNA from 1 species
GACGAACGCUGGCGGCGUGCUUAACACAUGCAAGUCGAGCGGUAAGGCCCUUUCGGGGUACGACGAGCGGCGAACGGGUGAGUAACACGUGGGUGACCUGCCCUCAGCUCUGGGAGUAAGCCCGGGAAACUGGGUCUAAUACCGGAUAUGACUCCACGGUGCAUGUCGUGGGGUGGAAAGCCUUGUGCGGCUGAGGAUGGGCCCGCGGCCUAUCAGCUUGUUGGGUGGGGUGAUGGCCACCAAGGCGACGACGGGUAGCCGGCUUGAGAGGGCGACUGGCCACACUGGGACUGAGACACGGCCCAGACUCCUACGGGAGGCAGCAGUGGGGAAUCUUGCGCAAUGGGCGAAAGCCUGACGCAGCGACGCCGCGUGAGGGAUGACGGCCUGG